GAUGAAGAACGCAGCGAAAUGCGAUAAGUAAUGUGAAUUGCAGAAUUCAGUGAAUCAUCGAGUCUUUGAACGCACAUUGCGCCCCCUGGUAUUCCGGGGGGCAUGCCUGUCCGAGCGUCAUUGCUGCCCUCAAGCACGGCUUGUGUGUUGGGCUCCGCCCCCCUCCCGGGGGGCGGGCCCGAAAGGCAGCGGCGGCACCGCGUCCGGUCCUCGAGCGUAUGGGGCUUUGUCACCCGCUCUGUAGGCCCGGCCGGCGCCCGCCGGCGACCCCAAUCAAUCUUUCCAGGUUGACCUCGGAUCAGGUAGGGAUACCCGCUGAACUUAAGCAUAUCAUAAGCGGAGGA
rnacentral:misc_RNA from 1 species